rnacentral:rRNA from 1 species
UACGUAGGGGGCUAGCGUUGUCCGGAAUCAUGGGGCGUAAAGCGCGUGUAGGCGGUCCGGUAAGUCCGCUGUGAAAGUCGGGGGCUCAACCCUCGGAUGCCGGUGGAUACUGUCGGGCUUGAGUACGGAAGAGGCGAGUGGAAUUCCUGGUGUAGCGGUGAAAUGCGCAGAUAUCAGGAGGAACACCAAUGGCGAAGGCAGCACUCUGGGACGUGACUGACGCUGAGACGCGAAAGCGUGGGGAGCAAACAGG